rnacentral:rRNA from 1 species
UCGAACGGCAGCACAGGAGAGCUUGCUCUCUGGGUGGCGAGUGGCGGACGGGUGAGGAAUACAUCGGAAUCUACUUUUUCGUGGGGGAUAACGUAGGGAAACUUACGCUAAUACCGCAUACGACCUACGGGUGAAAGCAGGGGACCUUCGGGCCUUGCGCGAUUGAAUGAGCCGAUGUCGGAUUAGCUAGUUGGCGGGGUAAAGGCCCACCAAGGCGACGAUCCGUAGCUGGUCUGAGAGGAUGAUCAGCCACACUGGAACUGAGACACGGUCCAGACUCCUACGGGAGGCAGCAGUGGGGAAUAUUGGACAAUGGGCGCAAGCCUGAUCCAGCCAUACCGCGUGGGUGAAGAAGGCCUUCGGGUUGUAAAGCCCUUUUGUUGGGAAAGAAAUCCAGCCGGCUAAUACCUGGUUGGGAUGACGGUACCCAAAGAAUAAGCACCGGCUAACUUCGUGCCAGCAGCCGCGGUAAUACGAAGGGUGCAAGCGUUACUCGGAAUUACUGGGCGUAAAGCGUGCGUAGGUGGUUGUUUAAGUCUGUUGUGAAAGCCCUGGGCUCAACCUGGGAACUGCAGUGGAAACUGGACAACUAGAGUGUGGUAGAGGGUAGCGGAAUUCCCGGUGUAGCAGUGAAAUGCGUAGAGAUCGGGAGGAACAUCCAUGGCGAAGGCAGCUACCUGGACCAACACUGACA